UAGAUGCGAGAGUAGAGCAUAUCAAUAAGCGGAGGAAAAGAAACUAACUAGGAUUCCCUCAGUAACGGCGAGUGAAGCGGGAAGAGCUCAAAUUUGAAAUCUUCAAGGUUCUACCUUGACGAAUUGUAGUUUAUAGAAGUGUUUUCGGUUAGGAGUUUAGUAAAAGUUCUUUGGAAUAGGACAUCAUAGAGGGUGAGAAUCCCGUAUUUGACCUAUUAUUUCCUAGCUUUGUGAUACACUUUCAAAGAGUCGGAUUGUUUGGGAAUGCAGUCCAAAAUGGGUGGUAAAUUUCAUCUAAAGCUAAAUACUGGCGAGAGACCGAUAGCGAACAAGUACCGUGAGGGAAAGAUGAAAAGAACUUGAAAAGAGAGUUAAACAGUACGUGAAAUUGUCAAAAGGGGAAGCGUUUGACACCAGUGUUGUUUCGUCGAAAAUCAAUUAAAUAAUGUCCUGAUUUUGAUGUUAGUAUUGACUUUAUCAGCUUGCUGCACUUUUUUCUUGUCUUUUUUAAUGCACUUUUCGUUUAACAAGUCAACAUCAAUUUCUUUUGUUGUAAGAGAGUCAUUGGAAGGUGGCUUUCAUUUCGGUGAAAGUGUUUAUAGCCUUUGACUUCUGCAAUCGGAGAGAUUGAGGUCUGCAGCGUAGAUCCUUCGGGGUUAGAUGCAUUUGUGCUAAGUUAUAGUUUUUCAUAGACAACAUGUUGACUAUGAUUAAUCAUGUAGCUUACUCGCUUAUGCUAUUUUACCUACGCUUAGGAUGUUGACGCGCGUGUGUGCGUG
rnacentral:rRNA from 1 species